GAAACUACACUUUCAGGGAUAAUUUCUAUAGUUGAUUACUACAGAAGUUUCUCUAAAUAUGUAGAGCACCAUUUAAACAUAAUAAUAAAAAGGCUGGGAGCGGUGGCUCACGCCUGUAAUCCCAGCACUUUGGGAGGCUGAGGUGGGCAGAUCGCUUGAGGCCAGGAGUUCGAGACCAGCCUGGCCAACAUG
rnacentral:snoRNA from 10 species